AGAAUGGUGGUUGAGUAAAAACUGCGCUCAGUUGAGUUUCGCAGCCGGAUCUAGUAGUACACAGUUAACGGUAUAAUGUUAAAGUGUUAGGUGAUGAUGAAAAAUUAGUACACGCGAAUUGUAAUAAAAUUUGAAGCGGUUUCAACCAGUUCCGCACUUACCGCGUGUGUUUAAUUUUUCCUUUAACUUUGUUACUGGCGUACUUCAAGACAGCAAUACCACCGGCGCUGCAAAAGAAUACAAGCCAUUUGUGAAUUGAGGAGCAGAGGUGCUGAGGUUAUUUGUUAGGUAGCGAAGCAAAGCAUCAGCACUAGAAGAAAACUGUUGUUUUACCUGUUUUUGUAUCUAUUGCUUUGAAUCUGUGCGAUUCACAAGCAGUUAUGUAUAUUUCCGGAUCUGAUUUUUGGGUUGUGCCUCUUUUGAAUACGG